AGAGUUUGAUCCUGGCUCAGGAUAAACGCUGGCGGCGCACAUAAGACAUGCAAGUCGAACGAACUUAACCAUUAGUUUACUAUUGGAGCGGUUAGUGGCGGACUGGUGAGUAACACGUAAGCAACCUGCCUAUCAGAGGGGAACAACAGUUAGAAAUGACUGCUAAUACCGCAUAUGCCUUAGAAUCACAUGGUUCGAAAGGGAAAGGAGUCAAUUCCGGCUGAUAGAUGGGCUUGCGU
rnacentral:rRNA from 1 species